ACCAAGUAGCACAUCUAGUAUAAAGCUUAGCAGAAACACCACUGUAUGAUACCAUAAUGGUACCUUAUACUCAUCUAACCUUUCUCUGUUGCCUCAUGGUUUAUACAUGACCAUGUAUUCUUUAUGAUGACUCUAAAACUGCUGAAAACCUAUGCAAUUCUUCUCUCACAGUAGAUGGAUUAAACACAGAUUCACGAUGUCUUACAUUGUACCUAUUAGUGGGCAUAUAUUCUUGAGUUAUUCCAAAUAGUCUGAUAUGGAAUUAUUCAGUGAAGCUCUAUUUAAUAUUUGAAAAUUGAUUAUUGAACCAAAGACAAGUUACUGAGAUUCUUGAGUGAGUAAAAAGAGACUAUUAAGUGUGAAAGCUAUAUCAGUAACACACUGUAGUGGUGUUCUGACCAGCAAUGCUGGUAUUCAGCCUUCCAGAAAAAUCAAUAACUUCCAAAACUAAAACAGCCCCCCAAAAAUGACCUGGAGACUGAAAAACAAGUCUUAUAAUGCAAGGAUAGAGCCCAUUUGAUCCAAAAGCAAGGUGAGACACAGUUUCACGUCUCCUUAGGUAGACCUAUGAAUGAAAUACACACAGUCAUAUAGAGGUUUUCCUGUUCUUACAAGCAAAGCAUAACAGAAAAAAUAAGUCUUGAAACAAAAUGUAAUUUCCUAGGAAUAAGAGUACUAACACUGACAUGGUCUAAGAGGUGAAGGAAGAGAUUCCCAUCAUUUCUGUCUGCAGAAUCCAAAGACUUAACUAUGACAAUGUGAAUGUGCUUUCUCUGAAUACUUUGCAGUUUGAUUCUUGAGAUAUAAAAAUGCAUAGGCAGAGCAGUCUCUUCCAUGCCUGUGAUCGAUUAAUCCAUUAAUUUCCUUGUUUAUCUGUUUGUAUGAUUAUGUGUGUUGCCCUGGCCAUGCUUGCAACAUUUGUGUACAAGUAAGUAUCAUUAACUUUUACAGAAUUCAUUUCAGACUUGUGUGUAUCUGAGCGUGACCCAGCUCUAAACACAUAAUGGAAUUGUUCAGUUAUGUAUCCAAAUAUUAGGUAAAUCAUCAGAUCUGACAAGACAGCAACAGUGGGAAAAAUGAUAUUAUUGUUGCUGGGGUUUCUUUGGUGUUAUGGUGUGGUUUUUUGGUUUUGUUAUUUUUGGUUGUUGUUCCUCUCCCUGCUUCGUCUCAUUUUGGAGACAUGUCACGGCAAAGCCUUGCAUAACAGUGAUGUCAUGUCCUCUGUUCUCUGCUUGUCUCACAAAACAGUUUAGUUGUACUAUAACGUGAUAGUCCUCAGGAAACUAAAGUGAUUAACUUCUCUGUAGGAUUAGCCAGACAAAAAUUUAAUAGCAUAUAAGAAAGGAAAAUUAAAAAGCCAACUAAUUCCCUCCUGUUUUAAACUAUACAACUUAUUUGAAAUACUGCACAGCUAAAGCAGUGUGAUGCAUGCCCUUAAGUAAUACCUUUACACACACUUAACAAUACACAGCUCAGACAACACUAAGAUUAAAAUAUAGCACUGUAAAUUCUCCACAAAGAAAGCCUUGCUUCUUAAUCAGAUGCAGAGAAGAAAACUAGAAAAUUAAAGAGAGCUGUGGUGAAGGGUGGCAGUGAGGGAGGUGCAAUUCAAGGGAGUAAUCUGUCAAACCCAGAACAGCAACCCUCUUUGUCAUUGCCUGCACACUGUGUCCCUCUAAAUAUUCAGAAGAUCAAAUCUGCAUGUGCAGCCAAGGAAGCAACAAUAAAUGAACACUAAGUGAUCUUGUUCCUUAGGAAAGUGUGAGCAUGUCUAAAGCAGAAUGCUUCAGCUGGCAGACUGACUGCAUCAGCAUGUUGCUUGCUCUUAGGACACAGCUGUAUUUUGUUUCAACAGGACGCAGCUAAAGAUUUCUGAAACUCUGUGAGUGCCACCCCAGGAGCCUAUGUCCAGGUGACAUCUCCAGUACAAGCACUUUCACAGGACAGUAGAUACUGUCCUGAGAUUCUGCAUAUCCUAUUAUUUAUUCAUCACUAACAACAAUCCAUACAGAGACACAUAAUACACGAGCUGCACUUUAACAUAUGUUUUUUCUUGGUAUUGGGGCUUCUCCUGAUGUUCCAGAUUUUAUCUCACCGAGACUGCACUGGUUUCCUAUAUUACAGCCUCUCUCCUCCAAUUACCAUGUGGGAAAGAAAGAACAAGGGACAGAGAUGACAAGAAACGUGUUACGGAUUGACUUUCCAGACAUUGUCCAGUCUCUUUGUACAAGACCACCAGCACUGUCUGGAUACUCAUCUCUCCUUUCUCUACAACAGAUUUGUUAUAAAACCUUGGUAUUUACUGUUGAUUAAGCAGAAGAGACAAAAUACAGAAGGACCUUGGAAAUGACUACAUUGCACCAUUUCCUUGAGUGGAAGAGAAGAUAUUUCUUUUUGCAGCAGAGUUGGCCCUUGUUUCUAUAUACAGUAGCUGUUAUGCUGAUAAUUGAAGAUUUAAUGAAAACCAUUCCAAAAUGCUGUGAAAAGUUCCUAGUUCUCAAUUCACCAGAAAUAAAAAGGUAACAAUUUAUGUACGUUUGCACUGUAAUUUGUUUUUACAAAUCAGCAUUCACUUACAUUCCUGGAGCCAGUACCGGAAACUAGUUUUAAAUUCUAAUGGAAACUUUCAUUGUCCAUUUGUAACCACAAACAAACCAUAAAAAUAUUUCUGGAGAAAAACGUCUAUUUUUUUUUUCAAAUAAGUGAAAGAUAAUAUUAAAACUACCAACGUACCAGAAAAUAUCAUGACAUUUGCUGACUUUUUAAUUUUCAUUUCUGAAUUUCUUAACCAGAAAACAGUAGAAAAAUAAUUAGUGGCUAAAUGUGUACAUUAUAUUAUGUAAUAAGAAGUUAGCCCAAUUGUAUCCAUACCUCAGAAGGAGAAAGAAAAGAGGGAGGUAAUAAGAAGUGGUAAAUCGCCAAAUAUACCUUAUAUUUUUAAAUAAGUUUUAUCAAGAUAACCACAGUCCUUGGUGUGCUGUUAUUUUCAACACUGCAUGGGAAAAGCAAAUGAUGAAAAACUCCAGAGUCCAAGUUUCUACAAUUAUCAAUAUUUUUAAAAACUAGAAGACAUUCACCACAACA